AGAGCUUGCUCUCUGGAUCAGUGGCGAACGGGUGAGUAACACGUGAGCAACCUGCCCCGGACUCUGGGAUAACAGCUGGAAACAGCUGCUAAUACCGGAUACGAGCUGCGAAGGCAUCUUCAGCAGCUGGAAAGAAUUUCGGUCCGGGAUGGGCUCGCGGCCUAUCAGCUAGUUGGUGAGGUAAUGGCUCACCAAGGCGUCGACGGGUAGCCGGCCUGAGAGGGUGACCGGCCACACUGGGACUGAGACACGGCCCAGACUCCUACGGGAGGCAGCAGUGGGGAAUAUUGCACAAUGGGCGAAAGCCUGAUGCAGCAACGCCGCGUGAGGGAUGACGGCCUUCGGGUUGUAAACCUCUUUUAGCAGGGAAGAAGCGAAAGUGACGGUACCUGCAGAAAAAGCGCCGGCUAACUACGUGCCAGCAGCCGCGGUAAUACGUAGGGCGCAAGCGUUAUCCGGAAUUAUUGGGCGUAAAGAGCUCGUAGGCGGUUUGUCGCGUCUGCUGUGAAAACCCGAGGCUCAACCUCGGGCCUGCAGUGGGUACGGGCAGACUAGAGUGCGGUAGGGGAGAUUGGAAUUCCUGGUGUAGCGGUGGAAUGCGCAGAUAUCAGGAGGAACACCGAUGGCGAAGGCAGAUCUCUGGGCCGUAACUGACGCUGAGGAGCGAAAGGGUGGGGAGCAAACAGGCUUAGAUACCCUGGUAGUCCACCCCGUAAACGUUGGGAACUAGUUGUGGGGUCCAUUCCACGGAUUCCGUGACGCAGCUAACGCAUUAAGUUCCCCGCCUGGGGAGUACGGCCGCAAGGCUAAAACUCAAAGGAAUUGACGGGGACCCGCACAAGCGGCGGAGCAUGCGGAUUAAUUCGAUGCAACGCGAAGAACCUUACCAAGGCUUGACAUAUACGAGAACGGGCCAGAAAUGGUCAACUCUUUGGACACUCGUAAACAGGUGGUGCAUGGUUGUCGUCAGCUCGUGUCGUGAGAUGUU
rnacentral:rRNA from 1 species